rnacentral:tRNA from 1 species
GGUCCUGUAGUUCAGUGGUAGAAUAUAUGAUUGCGGAUCAUAAGGUCGCAGGUUCGAGCCCUGCCUGGAUCG